rnacentral:rRNA from 2 species
UACGUAGGGAGCGAGCGUUGUCCGGAAUUACUGGGCGUAAAGGGCGUGUAGGCGGUCAAUCAAGUCAGGUGUGAAAUUCCAAGGCUCAACCCUGGACGUGCACUUGAAACUGGUUGACUUGAGUGCAGGAGAGGAAAGUGGAAUUCCCAGUGUAGCGGUGAAAUGCGUAGAUAUUGGGAGGAACACCAGUGGCGAAGGCGACUUUCUGGCCUGUAACUGACGCUGAGGCGCGAAAGCUAGGGGAGCAAAC